CAAGUCGAGCGAACGGACGAGAAGCUUGCCUCUCUGAUGUUAGCGGCGGACGGGUGAGUAACACGUGGAUAACCUACCUAUAAGACUGGGAUAACUUCGGGAAACCGGAGCUAAUACCGGAUAAUAUUUUGAACCGCAUGGUUCAAAAGUGAAAGACGGUCUUGCUGUCACUUAUAGAUGGAUCCGCGCUGCAUUAGCUAGUUGGUAAGGUAACGGCUUACCAAGGCAACGAUGCAUAGCCGACCUGAGAGGGUGAUCGGCCACACUGGAACUGAGACACGGUCCAGACUCCUACGGGAGGCAGCAGUAGGGAAUCUUCCGCAAUGGGCGAAAGCCUGACGGAGCAACGCCGCGUGAGUGAUGAAGGUCUUCGGAUCGUAAAACUCUGUUAUUAGGGAAGAACAUAUGUGUAAGUAACUGUGCACAUCUUGACGGUACCUAAUCAGAAAGCCACGGCUAACUACGUGCCAGCAGCCGCGGUAAUACGUAGGUGGCAAGCGUUAUCCGGAAUUAUUGGGCGUAAAGCGCGCGUAGGCGGUUUUUUAAGUCUGAUGUGAAAGCCCACGGCUCAACCGUGGAGGGUCAUUGGAAACUGGAAAACUUGAGUGCAGAAGAGGAAAGUGGAAUUCCAUGUGUAGCGGUGAAAUGCGCAGAGAUAUGGAGGAACACCAGUGGCGAAGGCGACUUUCUGGUCUGUAACUGACGCUGAUGUGCGAA
rnacentral:rRNA from 1 species